CCAUUAACUGCCCGAUUCAGAGCCGAACGAGGGGUCAUUUGCAUACAAAUAGUGUGUCUUUAUGAAUCAAUGAUGGAUGGGUUCACCAAUAUAGACUCCACGGCUGUUUCCAGUUUCCUCCAGCUUGAAGGACACAGCCUCAGGAGAGUCAUCUGACGGAAAACUCUGGAGAAAACGGCAGAUUGAUACAAAUGUCUCUGUGAAGCAGCAGGUAAUAUUCAGCUGCUAUUACUCAACGGGACGAGGCGCUCCACACAAACGUCUGCAGCUUGAUUUAUGUGUUCUUACUUUAAUCAUAAUUCCUUUUCACAAACAAGAUGUGACUUUUUUUUUUAGCUUUUGUACAAUCGGCAGAGUUUAUCGUGCCUCUACAGCAGCUCUGCUCUGCUGCUAAUGCUAAUGCUAGCUUUUCGACAGCUGUGUUAGCUACGUUAAAAUGGUUUGAAAUGUGCAGAACAUGGGACUGAAGGUUUGAGUGCAAAGAGUCGGGAGUAUUUGCUCUGUAGUAUAGGGUGGCCACAGCUACCUGCCAAUUGCAAGAACACAGAUUGCCACGCUAUAAACAAGGAUAGACGAAAAAGAAAUAGCAGAUAUUGAACAUUUGAACUGCUUGUUUUGACUCAAUUCUGUAACUUAUGAGAAAAAGUACCCUUCAAAAUAAAAGCAUAGUUUUACGAUGCAGGAAACAAAGCAACCUAAACCUAUGAAAAUGUGACCAAAUCUGAUUAAUGCUGCUACUAAUCACAAACAGACCACUGCUGAGAAAUUAUUUAGUGUCAGACUUCGCUGAAGAAAUCUACUAAUGACGUAACUUUGACUAAAUUGUUCGGUAACGUUUUCUGUUACGGUACACUUAUUACCAGGUAAUUAACAGGUAAUUACCCAGUAACAACAUGAAAUUAUCUGGUAAUUACAUGAUAACUACUAAGUCAAUACUGUCUAGCUACCAGGUAGGUAACCUUCCAUCAUCAUACAAAUUUGAAGCCGAAUUGCUCUGGUAUUUCCAGGAUUUUCUCAGCUUCCAUGAACCACCACUUGCGCAGUAGCAUUGUACGCAUUCGGCGGGUGAGUCGCUGUGAUGACGCUCGGCUCAAACAGCGUAUCGCCACGCAAUCUUCGCACGCCCAUAGGCUGUAUCAAGUGUCAAUCAUAGAAAAUAAGAACCUCAAAAAAGCUUUUGAAAAUGGAGCUGCAGAGAAAAAAGACAAAAAAAGAAAAACUAGACAGUAUCGACUUAGUAGUUAUCAUGUAAUUACCGGAUAAUUUCAUGUUGUUACUGGGUAAUUACCUGUUAAUUACCUGGUAAUAAGUGUACCGUAAAAGAAAGCGUUACCAAUUGUUCAACUUGAAUACAGAGAACGUAAGAUUUCAGCAACAGAUCAGAGCAACAUCACAGAGAUAUGUAGUUAUGCAGGUCUAAAGUUCGUCUGGCUGUGAUUUGAAGGGUCUAUACAGUUAACAGUACCCAGUGGGAACGAUGUGAACCUGAUUUUCCAAAAGAUUUAUAAACUUUAUAUGUGAGUAUGUCUUGAUUGUACAAAAUGCACAUUCCCUAACUGAAACAGCAUUGUUGUGAUAAAUUCAGACAUUUAUGUUAAUCGUGAAUGCUCAAAAUAGUAGAAUUGUGAUUUAUUGUGCAGCCCUAACCUCCACCAAUCCACUGCAACGAAUUAAAGAUGAAAUAAUGCUAAUUUAAAUGGUGAUGUGUGGUUGGACUGUAAUUUUAAAGCCAAUCACAGACCAAUAAAUCAUUCCACUGAGCCAAUAACUACAGUUUUCUUCAUGACAGAGACCGAAUGUAAACUCUCUCUCUUUAAUGACCUUUUCCAGUCUUUUCUCAUGCUGCAUGUUUCUGUGUUUGACUGUUAACCAUCUAUUUCUUUCUCAGAAACUAUUUCAGCUGCGCCCGACACACCAAUUCAACCUUUCAACUGGAUUACCGUAUCUUUAAACUCCGGUAGAUUAGCGAUCUGAAGCAUGUCACAUGUCUUCGAUGGUUGAUUGGCAGUUUAAAAAGUAAACAAAUAGAUCUCAGGAUGACUAAAAUCAGUCUGAACACGUCUCUCUCUGAAGCUCAUGCAGUAUCUAAAUGUAUCUAAGUGUUUUUCUCCUCUACUAUCCUGACAUCUCUUUUCACAGGUCGCUCUCUGCAGAAUCUCUCAGCGUGGAUGUCUUCAAGCUGGAUGGCAAUCUCAUUAAUCUGCUGCCUGACUUCGCCGCCCCUGUCAUCCCUCUCUGGCCCUCAGAUAAUGGGCUUCUAUUAUGUGGACCAGUGUGUAAUCGCUCAGACUCACAGACCACUCAGAUUGCUUUGGUCCCAUCAUGUUGCUGUA
rnacentral:lncRNA from 1 species